CUUCUGUGUUCUCUCAACAGAAUGCUAUAUAAGGAGCUGUCCUGUAGACAAAAAGAUGUUAUACAAAUUGAGCAGAAGAGUGCACUGAAGGAGUGGGCUUGCUGCCACCAGUGUUUAAAGACGGUUUUCUCCUGGGAUGACUUCAUUUAAUCAUCCCAACACCGCAUCGUUCCUGGGAACCACAUUCACAACACAGCCGUGUAUACGACAAGACCCACUGACACGUUAUAUCUGAGUCUACAAACAGUCUAGGAGCACAGCCAUUAGCUACAUUACAAAACAGAAUCACAGAAACCAAAUCCUCUGGGUUCUGUACGGAGGGGGUAUCCACAGCAUGAAAAUACCCUUACAUCUUAUUUACCUUUCCUAGAAGGAAAGAGUAGAUAACCUGGGGACACGACCGACUUCUCAUAAAAUGAAAAGCAUACUUCGAAAACGAGCAGCAUCUGGCAAUCAUCAUCUUCGGCUUGCUCCCCACCGUGACUCCACUCCCUUGCACCACCCUGCGUCUCCACCACCCUCCUCUGUUCCCCACCGCAGUGCAAGUGGCCCCCCACCCCCCCCGCUCCUCCUGGAGUUUCUGAAAAAACCCAUGGGGGCUGAGUAUGAACGGGAUGUGGAGAGGUGGAGCAUCUAAGAAGUCUGGCUGGAAACACAAGAAGGAAAGCAGCAGCACAGCUACAAGGGGCCCCGGGACCGAUGAGACCCGAGCACCGACAGCUAUAAGGGGCCCCCGGGACCGAUGAGACCCGGGCAGGGACAGCUACAAGGGGGCCCCGGGACCGAUGAGUCCUGGGCAGGGAUAGCUACAAGGGGACCCCGGGACCGAUGAGACCUGGGCAGGGACAGCUACAAGGGGGCCCCGGGACCAAUGAGACCCGGGCAUGGACAGCUACAAGGGGGCCCCGGGACCGAUGAGUCCUGGGCAGGGAUAGCUACAAGGGGACCCUGGAACUAAUCAGACCUGAGGUUUCAGUACCCAUGGAAAGGCACCAGUGAGAUGAAGAGACAUUGAAAACAUAGGAAAAGGAGGAGGACAUAAUUUAUAAACCAAGGUUUCCAAGAAGGUGAACAGGAGGAGAUAUAGAGCACAUAUGCAAAAGGAUACUUCUUUCACUUGAACGUGAAGGAACAAAAGAAAGAAGGACUUAGAUGCCCUUCUCCUCCACUGAACUUCACUCCCCUCAAGGCCAGGCAUCGUUAGUAUCGAGAACAAUGUUAAUGGGCAGGAAAGAAUAAAGAGGGAAAGACUGUUUUGAGUUGAUCCAACAAGUGUAGACUGGGUUCCUUGAGAAGAAGACGUCAUUACUACUCAACAAAUAUUCAAAUCACCCAUGGGAAAAGUCCACAUUAAAGUUACAUUCUUUAUCACGUAAAGUCAAAACA